GGCUCUUUGGUCUAGAGGCAUGAUUUCUCUUUCGGGUAGAGGAGGUCGGGGGUUCGAUUCCCCCAAGAGCCC
rnacentral:tRNA from 1 species